GCACUCUGAAGCUGCAGAACAAUAGUGACACGCUGGACAAGAACGGGACACGAACCCUGGUCUCCUGGGUGUCGCUCUUGAUACUUCGUCAUCUUGCAGCGCCGCGGUCGAGCUGCUGCUAUGCCUGGUGCGUCUGUAUCUGACUCUGAGAGAUACUGACCAAGCGUCAGUAUUUUACGAUUAUUUGAGAGUGAGAAUGGAUUGGAAUUACAGCAGGCAUGAUAUGGGAAGAGGUCCACAAGCUGAACAGCAGGAGAAGCUGGAGGAAAGACAACAAGACCGAGCAGAACCUCCAUCUGUCACAACUUCCUCCCCCUGCUCCUACCAAGAGACAACAUGCUGCGGUUUCAGAUCCUGCCUAAUGCUGGGGUGUUACAUGCUGGAAGAAUCUCUUGGUGAACAACAGCCUGGCGCAAUGACUGUGUGCAGCUUCCUGAAGUGUUAUCAUCACAGCGGGCCAUGCCAGGUAUUGUCCCAUAAACCUGUGCUCACUGAUUGUAUCUGACAAACUGCUCUAUAGCCAGAAACGCUGUGCGGAAUUGCUCCAUGGAUGGAUUAACUUUGUCAAGACGUAGUUCCAGCAAAUGUUGACAUGACAUUAGUCAUGCAUCAUGUACAAAUGUUAAACUGUAUGCUCCCACCACAGCACUGUUGUAUAUUCACUAGUCAUCAUCCAUGACGUUCCACAUCCGGGAU